rnacentral:rRNA from 1 species
GCCCCUUCGGCGUGCCAACCUCCCACCCGUGUCUACUGUACCACGUUGCUUCGGUGGGCCUGCCCCCAACAACGGGGGCCGCCAGGGGGCAUCUCUGCCCCGAGGCGAGCGCCUGCCGGAGACCACACGAACGCUGUCUGAAGACUGCCGUCUGAGUGGAUUUUUAAAUCAAUCAAAACUUUCAACAACGGAUCUCUUGGUUCCGGCAUCGAUGAAGAACGCAGCGAACUGCGAUAAGUAGUGUGAAUUGCAGAAUUCAGUGAAUCAUCGAGUCUUUGAACGCACAUUGCGCCCCCUGGUAUUCCGGGGGGCAUGCCUGUCCGAGCGUCAUUGCUACCCUCAAGCGCGGCUUGUAUUGGGCUACCGUCCCCCUACUCCUAGGGGGACGGGCCUGAAAGGCAGCGGCAGCACUGCGUCUGGACCUGGAGCGUAUGGGGCUUUGUCACCCGCUCUAUAGGACUGACUGGCGCUCGCCUAGCAACCUCUUCUUUCCAGGUUGACCUCGGAUCAGGUAGGGAACCC